rnacentral:rRNA from 1 species
UAGGUGGGAGGCUUUGAAGCACGUACGCCAGUAUGUGUGGAGCCGUCCUUGAAAUACCACCCUUGUAGUGUUGAUGUUCUAACGUCGACCCCUUAUCGGGGUUGCGGACAGUGCCUGGUGGGUAGUUUGACUGGGGCGGUCUCCUCCCAAAGAGUAACGGAGGAGCACGAAGGUGGGCUAAUCACGGUUGGACAUCGUGAGGUUAGUGCAAUGGCAUAAGCCCGCUUGACUGCGAGAAUGACAAUUCGAGCAGGUGCGAAAGCAGGUCAUAGUGAUCCGGUGGUUCUGAAUGGAAGGGCCAUCGCUCAACGGAUAAAAGGUACUCCGGGGAUAACAGGCUGAUACCGCCCAAGAGUUCAUAUCGACGGCGGUGUUUGGCACCUCGAUGUCGGCUCAUCACAUCCUGGGGCUGAAGUCGGUCCCAAGGGUAUGGCUGUUCGCCAUUUAAAGUGGUACGCGAGCUGGGUUUAGAACGUCGUGAGACAGUUCGGUCCCUAUCUGCCGUGGGCGUUGGAAGAUUGAAGGGGGCUGCUCCUAGUACGAGAGGACCGGAGUGGACGAACCUCUGGUGUUCGGGUUGUGUCGCCAGACGCAUUGCCCGGUAGCUAAGUUCGGAAUCGAUAACCGCUGAAAGCAUCUAAGCGGGAAGCGAGCCCUGAGAUGAGUCUUCCCUGAUACUUUAAGUAUCCUAAAGGGUUGUCGGAGACUACGACGUUGAUAGGUCAGGUGUGUAAGUGCUGUGAGGCAUUGAGCUAACUGAUACUAAUUGCCCGUGAGGCUUAACCAUACAACACCCAAGGGGUUU